GCCUGCUUAGCUCAGUGGUAGAGCGUCCGUCUCAUACGCGGCUUGUCACUAGUUCGAAUCUAGUAGCAGGCA
rnacentral:tRNA from 1 species